AUGUACCUCAGCUACCUUGUCCUCGCUGCCCUCCUGGGGAAAUCACUGGAUGCCAUGGGCCAGGUCACCGUGACUCAGAAAGAUGGUCUAGUCAGAGUGGAGGAGAGAGGCACUUUCCAGACCACCUGCACCUACCAGACAUCCAGCAGUAUUGUGGCACCAGCCAUGCUCUGGUACCAGCAGAGGAGAGGCCAAGCCCCGCAGCUGGUCUCAUAUCAGGCAGCAUCUGCUCCUAAGAAGAGUGGCCGAUUCACCACACUGCUGAACACCACUGGGAAAUACAGUCUCCUGCGGCUGGAGGAAGUCGUGGUCUCUGACGCUGCCUUGUACCUCUGUGCUGUGCAAGACACCCUGGUGCAGGAAGCGCCUUUGACUGUGCAAAAACUGGAGGUGGAGAGGAGGGCGGGGGUGCAUCUGGGCAAGGCGGAGCUCCAGUGA